ACUCAAAUGAAUUGACGGGGGCCCGCACAAGCAGCGGAGCGUGUGGUUUAAUUCGACGCAACACGCAGAACCUUACCUAGGCUUGACAUGUACCUGCUCACUACGGAAACGUAGCUCCUUCGAGGGUGGUACACCGGUGCUGCAUGGCUGUCGUCAGCUCGUGUCGUGAGAUGUUGGGUUAAGUCCCGCAACGAGCGCAACCCUUGCCCCAUGUUACUUGUGUCAUGGGGGACUGCCGGUGCGUUGCACCGGAGGAAGGCGGGGAUGACGUCAAGUCCGCAUGGCCCCUACGCCUAGGGCGACACACACGCUACAAUGGCCGGCGGAAUGCGCGGCGACCGAGCAAUCGGAAGCUAAUCGCGAAGGUCGGUCUCAGUUCAGAUUGAGGGCUGCAACUUGCCCUCAUGAAGGCGGAGUUGCUAGUAACCGCGUGUCAGCAAAGCGCGGUGAAUACGUACCCGGGCCUUGUACACACCGCCCGU
rnacentral:rRNA from 1 species